CCCUUAGAUGUCCUGGGCCGCACGCGCGCUACACUGACAUGUUCAACAAGCCUCCUAGUUCGACAGGAUUUGGGAAAUCUUUGAACGCAUGUCGUGAUAGGGAUAGAUCAUUGCAAUUAUUGAUCUUGAACGAGGAAUUCCUAGUAAACGCGAGUCAUCAGCUCGCAUUGAUUACGUCCCUGCCCUUUGUACACACCGCCCGUCGCACCUACCGAUUGAACGUUCCGGUGAGGCCUUAGGAUUUUGGUCUAUUUCAUUUAUUUGAGAUUUACUAGAAGAAGUUGAGCAAACCUUAACGUUUAGAGGAAGGUGAAGUCGUAACA
rnacentral:rRNA from 1 species